rnacentral:rRNA from 1 species
CUGCUGCCUCCCGUAGGAGUCUGGACCGUGUCUCAGUCCCAAUGUGGCCGUCCACCCUCUCAGGCCGGCUACUGAUCGCUGCCUUGGUGGGCCGUUACCCCGCCAACUAGCUAAUCAGACGCGGAUCCAUCGUAUACCACCGGAGUUUUUCACACUGCCCCAUGCGGAGCCGUGCGCUUAUGCGGUAUUAGCACCUAUUUCUAAGUGUUAUCCCCCGGUAUACGGCAGGUUAUCCACGCGUUACUCACCCGUCG